UCUUGGUCAUUUAGAGGAAGUAAAAGUCGUAACAAGGUCUCCGUUGGUGAACCAGCGGAGGGAUCAUUACCGAGUUUACAACUCCCAAACCCAAUGUGAACGUUACCAAACUGUUGCCUCGGCGGGAUCUCUGCCCCGGGUGCGUCGCAGCCCCGGACCAAGGCGCCCGCCGGAGGACCAACCAAAACUCUUUUGUAUACCCCCUCGCGGGUUUUUAUAUCUGAGCCAUCUCGGCGCCUCUCGUAGGCGUUUCGAAAAUGAAUCAAAACUUUCAACAACGGAUCUCUUGGUUCUGGCAUCGAUGAAGAACGCAGCGAAAUGCGAUAAGUAAUGUGAAUUGCAGAAUUCAGUGAAUCAUCGAAUCUUUGAACGCACAUUGCGCCCGCCAGUAUUCUGGCGGGCAUGCCUGUCCGAGCGUCAUUUCAACCCUCGAACCCCUCCGGGGGGUCGGCGUUGGGGAUCGGCCCUUUACGGGGCCGGCCCCGAAAUACAGUGGCGGUCUCGCCGCAGCCUCUCCUGCGCAGUAGUUUGCACACUCGCAUCGGGAGCGCGGCGCGUCCAUUGCCGUAAAACACCCAACU
rnacentral:rRNA from 1 species